ACAAUGAAGAGUUUGAUCCUGGCUCAGGAUGAACGCUAGCUACAGGCUUAACACAUGCAAGUCGAGGGGCAGCAUUUCAGUUUGCUUGCAAACUGGAGAUGGCGACCGGCGCACGGGUGAGUAACACGUAUCCAACCUGCCGAUAACUCGGGGAUAGCCUUUCGAAAGAAAGAUUAAUACCCGAUGGUAUAAUCAGACCGCAUGGUCUUGUUAUUAAAGAAUUUCGGUUAUCGAUGGGGAUGCGUUCCAUUAGGCAGUUGGUGAGGUAACGGCUCACCAAACCUUCGAUGGAUAGGGGUUCUGAGAGGAAGGUCCCCCACAUUGGAACUGAGACACGGUCCAAACUCCUACGGGAGGCAGCAGUGAGGAAUAUUGGUCAAUGGGCGCAGGCCUGAACCAGCCAAGUAGCGUGAAGGAUGACUGCCCUAUGGGUUGUAAACUUCUUUUAUAUGGGAAUAAAGUUUUCCACGUGUGGAAUUUUGUAUGUACCAUAUGAAUAAGGAUCGGCUAACUCCGUGCCAGCAGCCGCGGUAAUACGGAGGAUCCGAGCGUUAUCCGGAUUUAUUGGGUUUAAAGGGAGCGUAGGUGGACAGUUAAGUCAGUUGUGAAAGUUUGCGGCUCAACCGUAAAAUUGCAGUUGAUACUGGCUGUCUUGAGUACAGUAGAGGUGGGCGGAAUUCGUGGUGUAGCGGUGAAAUGCUUAGAUAUCACGAAGAACUCCGAUUGCGAAGGCAGCUCACUGGACUGCAACUGACACUGAUGCUCGAAAGUGUGGGUAUCAAACAGGAUUAGAUACCCUGGUAGUCCACACAGUAAACGAUGAAUACUCGCUGUUUGCGAUAUACAGUAAGCGGCCAAGCGAAAGCAUUAAGUAUUCCACCUGGGGAGUACGCCGGCAACGGUGAAACUCAAAGGAAUUGACGGGGGCCCGCACAAGCGGAGGAACAUGUGGUUUAAUUCGAUGAUACGCGAGGAACCUUACCCGGGCUUAAAUUGCAUUUGAAUAUAUUGGAAACAGUAUAGCCGUAAGGCAAAUGUGAAGGUGCUGCAUGGUUGUCGUCAGCUCGUGCCGUGAGGUGUCGGCUUAAGUGCCAUAACGAGCGCAACCCUUAUCUUUAGUUACUAACAGGUCAUGCUGAGGACUCUAGAGAGACUGCCGUCGUAAGAUGUGAGGAAGGUGGGGAUGACGUCAAAUCAGCACGGCCCUUACGUCCGGGGCUACACACGUGUUACAAUGGGGGGUACAGAAGGCAGCUACCUGGUGACAGGAUGCUAAUCCCAAAAGCCUCUCUCAGUUCGGAUCGAAGUCUGCAACCCGACUUCGUGAAGCUGGAUUCGCUAGUAAUCGCGCAUCAGCCAUGGCGCGGUGAAUACGUUCCCGGGCCUUGUACACACCGCCCGUCAAGCCAUGAAAGCCGGGGGUACCUGAAGUACGUAACCGCAAGGAGCGUCCUAGGGUAAAACUGGUAAUUGGGGCUAAGUCGUAACAAGGUAGCCGUACCGGAAGGUGCGGCUGGAACACCUCCUUU
rnacentral:rRNA from 1 species